rnacentral:lncRNA from 1 species
GUGGGGUGAUGGCCGAUUACUUCUGAAAUGAUCACCUGUCAUUCUCAGGCCACAAAAAUCAUGUCAGGUCCUCUCUAAAUCACUGUGUUUGCUUCUACAGAAAACCCUGCAGGGGGUCUCAUCUCAGAGGAAAUGAGCCCCGGGAGUGGCUCGCACAGCCCAGUGUUCCCAGGCAGAGCUUUUCCAAUUUGCGGAGCAGGAGCAGCCUCCCCUUAGCUCGGCUCCUGCAAGCCCAGCAGGAGGAGGAGAUCUCAACAUAAACCAUUUAAUUAAGAAACGCAGAGCAGGGAGAUGCGAGUUUGGAAACAUCCUUUGAAGCAAACUUGAUCCUCUCCAUAUGUAUGUUUCAAUUCAUAUUCAAUUCAAUUCAAUUCAAUUCUCCACCACUCUGGAAACAGAAUGUUUUCUCCUUCUUGAAAUAAUUGCCUACUGGUAGAGAAAUGCUAAGAAAGUGUUAGGAAAACAGCUAUCGCCCGGGCGCGGUAGCUCACGCCUGUAAUCCCAGCACUUUGGGAGACAGAGGUGGAUGGAUCACUUGAGGCCAGGAGUUCGAGACCAGCC